AUUGAACGCUGGCGGCAUGCUUUACACAUGCAAGUCGGACGGCAGCACAGAGAAGCUUGCUUCUUGGGUGGCGAGUGGCGAACGGGUGAGUAAUAUAUCGGAACGUACCGAGUAAUGGGGGAUAACUAAUCGAAAGAUUAGCUAAUACCGCAUAUUCUCUGAGGAGGAAAGCAGGGGACCUUUGGGCCUUGCGUUAUUCGAGCGGCCGAUAUCUGAUUAGCUAGUUGGUGGGGUAAAGGCCUACCAAGGCGACGAUCAGUAGCGGGUCUGAGAGGAGAUCCGCCACACUGGGACUGAGACACGGCCCAGACUCCUACGGGAGGCAGCAGUGGGGAAUUUUGGACAAUGGGCGCAAGCCUGAUCCAGCC
rnacentral:rRNA from 1 species